rnacentral:rRNA from 1 species
UACAGAGGGGGCAAGCGUUAUUCGGAAUUAUUGGGCGUAAAGGCGCGUAGGCGGCUUUUCAAGUGACGGGUGAAAUCCCUCGGCUUAACCGAGGAACUGCCUGUCAGACUGGAAAGGCUUGAGACCGGGAGAGGUGAGUGGAAUUCCCAGUGUAGCGGUGAAAAUGCGUAGAUAUUGGGAGGAAACACCAGUGGCGAAGGCGGCUCACUGGACCGGAACUGACGCUGAGGCGCGAAAGCGUGGGAGCAACAGGA